AGUGAACGCUGGCGGUAGGCCUAACACAUGCAAGUCGAACGGCAGCACAGUAAGAGCUUGCUCUUACGGGUGGCGAGUGGCGGACGGGUGAGGAAUACAUCGGAAUCUACUUUUUCGUGGGGGAUAACGUAGGGAAACUUACGCUAAUACCGCAUACGACCUACGGGUGAAAGCAGGGGAUCUUCGGACCUUGCGCGAUUGAAUUAGCCGAUGUCGGAUUAGCUAGUGGGCGGGGUAAAGGCCCACCAAGGCGACGAUCCGUUGCUGGUCUGAGAGGAUGAUCGGCACAACUGAAACUGAGACACGGUCCAGACUCCAACGGGAGGCAGCAGUGGGAAAUAUUGGACAAUGGGCGCAAGCCUGAUCCAGCCAGACCGCGUGGUGAAAGAAGGCCUUCGGGUUGUAAAGCCCUUUUGUUGGGAAAGAAAAGCAGCAGGUUAAUACCCCGCUGUUCUGACGGUACCCAAAGAAUAAGCACCGGCUAACUUCGU
rnacentral:rRNA from 1 species